AAUGAAAUUUAGGCAAAAAGUGUCAGAAACAUUUCUUCUAUCUUCAUCGUAUUUUACCUUUGCUGAAAAUGAAAAUUAAAAUGUACAUGUUUAAAGUCGGGCUUUGAUCAUAUUGACAAAAUAUCAGUGGUACAUGUACAGCCAAAUUGUGAUUUUACACAUUCUCAUGUAUUCUUUGUAAAAUAUGUUUGGUAACAGCAGAUUAAAAUAAUAUAAGUGUAUGGAUGUGUUAAUUUAAUACACUUUGUAAUCAAUAGUACUGGAAAUGUGAUAUUAGAAAAAACCUAACAGGAUUCACAAUAAAUGUAUGAAAAUU
rnacentral:misc_RNA from 1 species